UCCUCCUGCCUCAGCCUUCCAAAGUGUUGGGAUGACAGGCCAUGGUUUUGCGGGAGGAGGAGCUACGUCAGUCUGCCUUGGAGCUCAGCACCGUGUUUGGCCCAUGGUAGAUGCCCCACAGAAAACACAAGCGGCGUUGAGGGCUCCUGUGCCCUUCAGGGUGAAGGCUAAGGUGACGUUCAUUGCCCGGGGAAGUAAGUGUAGGGUUGAAUCGAAGCAAGUCAUCCAGGACGGAUGAGGUAGGACGGGAUGGAGAGAUACAGCUACUGAACAGCAGGACUCAAGGAAGAGAGAAGGUGAGAAGCAAAAAGCUCUGUCCCUCACCCCAGUGGACACUCAGAGGGCUGUGUGGGAGACACCCCAGCCACAUUUGCAGCUAAAUUUCACCGCACAAGGUAGGUGGAAUUUGACUCUCAGAUGACAGCUGUGGGGAAUUUCAGUGAACUCCUUUAAGAAAGCAGUGAUUGAGGAAGGUGUAACACAUUAUGGCGCUGCCCAGGAGGUAGUUUAGAAAUGUCUAAAGAAGCAGUCUAGGAAGUGGCUCUCGGAACUCUGCCUCUUCUGGAGGGGUAGAAUGCAGCCAGGCGGUCCUAGGUCCCAGGGAAAGGGUAGAAAUCAAGGCCACAGGCCAGGUGUGGUGACUCACACCUGUAAUCCCAGAACUUUGGGAGGCCGAGGCAGGUGGAUCACCUGAGGUCGGGAGCUUGAGACGAGCCUAACCAACAUGGAGAAGCCCCGUCUCUACUAAAAAUACAAAAUUAGCCAGGCAUGGUGGCACAUGCCUGUAAUCCCAGCUACUUGGGAGGCUGAGGCAGGAGAAUCACUUGAACCCGGGAGGCGGAGGUUGUGAUGAGCUGAGAUCACGCCAUUGUACUCCAGCCUGGGCAAAAAGAGCAAAACUCUGUCUCAAAGAAAAAAAAAAAAAAAGAGAAAUCAAGAACACAGAGGUAGGAUCUGCACCACCAGCCUUGUGCGGGGACCACUCACUUCAUCAGUACCCCUCUCCAUCCCCAACCAUCACCAAUGCCACCAGGGAUCCCAGGGACCAGGCCCGACCAGCCCUGUCCCAUUGUGUGUGGGGAAGGUAUGUGGGAAGAAUGCAGAGAACUCCACACCGACCUUGAAC